GUGGGGAAUCUUCCGCAAUGGGCGAAAGCCUGACGGAGCAACGCCGCGUGAGUGAUGACGGCCUUCGGGUUGUAAAGCUCUGUUAUAUGGGACGAACGGGCAUGGGGCGAAUACCCCCAUGCAGUGACGGUACCGUAAGAGAAAGCCACGGCUAACUACGUGCCAGCAGCCGCGGUAAUACGUAGGUGGCAAGCGUUGUCCGGAAUUAUUGGGCGUAAAGGGCGUGAAGGCGGCCAGACAAGUCUGUCUUAAAAGUGCGGGGCUCAACCCCGUGAUGGGAUGGAAACUGUCGGGCUAGAGUGUCGGAGAGGAAAGCGGAAUUCCUAGUGUAGCGGUGAAAUGCGUAGAUAUUAGGAGGAACACCAGUGGCGAAAGCGGCUUUCUGGACGACAACUGACGCUGAGGCGCGAAAGCCAGGGGAGCAAACGGGAUUAGAUACCCCUGUAGUCC
rnacentral:rRNA from 1 species